AAGAUUAGGUUCGGAAUUCUUGGAGGAAUUCCUUACAGAGGAAGAACAAGUUCUUUCUUUGAUCUUCCAAAGAACCUCUUCUCCUUCUUAUAGGUCACAUAGAGAACGGAUUUGGUAUUUGGAUAUUAUCCGUAUCAAUGACCUGGCUAAUCAUUCAUGAUUGGUCAUGGGAUCAUGUAAAUGAAAAUGAUCCAUAAAUGAUGAAGGGAUAAAAAAAAGAACAAAACCAAAAAUUCUUUUCAAUCUGAAAUGCUCAUGCAGUAGUGUAGUGGUUGACUGAGUAUUCAAGUUUCUUAGAUUCCCUUCUAGGGAUCUGAGUUUUAUAUGUAUACAUAGGGAAAGCCGUGUGCAAUGAAAAAUGCAAGCACGGUUUGGGGAGGGAUCUUUUUUUCCCCUAUUGCAACAAGGAAAUUAUCUACUCCAUCCGACUAGUUCCGGGUUCGAGUCCCGGGCAACCCA
rnacentral:tRNA from 1 species